UACAGAGGUCCCAAGCGUUGUUCGGAUUCACUGGGCGUAAAGGGUGCGCAGGUGGGUUGGCAAGUUCGAUGUGAAAGCCCCGGGCUUAACCCGGGAAUGGCAUUGGAUACUGUUGAUCUGGAGGGUCGGAGGGGGGACUGGAAUUCUUGGUGUAGCAGUGAAAUGCGUAGAUAUCAAGAGGAACACCAGUGGCGAAGGCGAGUCCCUGGACGAUACCUGACACUGAGGCACGAAAGCCAAGGGAGCAAACAGG
rnacentral:rRNA from 1 species